rnacentral:rRNA from 1 species
UUCCGGUUGAUCCUGCCGGAGGCCACUGCUAUCGGGGUCCGACUAAGCCAUGCGAGUCAAGGGGGUGUCCCUCUGGGACACCACCGGCGGACGGCUCAGUAACACGUCGGUAACCUACCCUCGGGAGGGGGAUAACCCCGGGAAACUGGGGCUAAUCCCCCAUAGGCCUGAGGUACUGGAAGGUCCUCAGGCCGAAAGGGGCUUUUGCCCGCCCGAGGAUGGGCCGGCGGCCGAUUAGGUAGUUGGUGGGGUAACGGCCCACCAAGCCGAAGAUCGGUACGGGCUGUGAGAGCAGGAGCCCGGAGAUGGACACUGAGACACGGGUCCAGGCCCUACGGGGCGCAGCAGGCGCGAAACCUCCGCAAUGCGGGAAACCGCGACGGGGGGACCCCGAGUGCCGUGGCACCGCCACGGCUUUUCCGGAGUGUAAAAAGCUCCGGGAAUAAGGGCUGGGCAAGGCCGGUGGCAGCCGCCGCGGUAAUACCGGCGGCCCGAGUGGUGGCCGCUAUUAUUGGGCCUAAAGCGUCCGUAGCCGGGCCCGUAAGUCCCUGGCGAAAUCCCACGGCUCAACCGUGGGGCUUGCUGGGGAUACUGCGGGCCUUGGGACCGGGAGAGGCGGGGGGUACCCCUGGGGUAGGGGUGAAAUCCUAUAAUCCCAGGGGGACCGCCAGUGGCGAAGGCGCCCCGCUGGAACGGGUCCGACGGUGAGGGACGAAGGCCAGGGGAGCAAACCGGAUUAGAUACCCGGGUAGUCCUGG